UUUGGGGAUGAUGUGGACCCUAUACUUCUAGGAUCCUCCAAAUAUUAGGAGGGAUAUAAGCUCGGUUUAGACACGCUUUAUAGUUUGGUUAUGUAGGAAGCUACUAUCAGCCUUAAAGAGGAAAACAGAAAGAGGAACUUUCCUGAUAAGAGGUAAUAACUGUCCAUGUUAGAACAGAUGCAGGAAGAGGGAAAGGGGAUAAAGAAGCCUGUUGUAAGUCUGAUGGGACAUUGAGUGACAGUCUGGCUUUAAGUAUUAUUCAGUGAUUAAGAUAGCUCAGCAUCCAUGUUGAGAAAAGCCAAAAAGAUAAGGGACAACCACGGCUCUCCGUGGGAGGCUGGAAAUGAAGACAACCUUCACACAACAAAAAGUAAAUUUGAGGGAGGAGCAGAUGACGCUGUCAUCUUUCUGCUUUUCUCUUUCUAGGAUUGCUCCCCUCAGUCCAUCUACGUAAGAAAAACCAUGGGGAAGUGGUUCCUUGAGUUCUCAUGGACCCAGUUCUAGAAUUAUUGAAGUUUGGGUGUUCCUGAUACCAUGAAUGACCUGGGCAGGAAGCUUGUUAAUAUCUCCGUGUUUCUUAAUUGCUUUGGUAGAUGUG
rnacentral:lncRNA from 1 species